rnacentral:rRNA from 1 species
UCCUACGGGGGGCAGCAGUGAGGAAUAUUGGUCAAUGGCCGCAGGGCUGAACCAGCCAAGUCGCGUGAGGGAUGACGGUCCUAGGGAUUGUAAACCUCUUUUGUCAGGGAGCAAAGGGCGCCACGUGUGGCGUUUUGCGAGUACCUGAAGAAAAAGCAUCGGCUAACUCCGUGCCAGCAGCCGCGGUAAUACGGAGGAUGCGAGCGUUAUCCGGAUUUAUUGGGUUUAAAGGGAGCGUAGGCCGGCUUUUAAGUCAGCUGUGAAAGUACGCGGCUCAACCGUGGAAUUGCAGUUGAAACUGGAGG